CAUAUUAAUGAAAAUGAAAUUCAGAUAAUGUUUAUUUGCUAUAAAAUAAGCCACCUUUCUUCUUUUUAAGCCUAAGUGCUUUUACCAACUCUGUAUGUAACAUUUAAAAAUAAUAUUCAUUUGCAUUUUACAUCUCAAUAGCAGUUAACAUCUGAAGGAUUAGAGAGAAAUUGUUCUAGCUGAUAAGUACUGAAUUAAACUUGGAGAAACAUUAUUUUUAUCUGAUGACCUUCAUCAUGAAUCAGUGCAGAGGAUGAAGAUGGCAAUGCUUCUCUAAAGAAUGGACUCAUGGUCAAGAAUGACAGCAAAAAUUCAAAAGCAAAUCAUCCUGAGUUUGGUCGGUCAAGUCACAUGCAAGAGGAAAAGGAUACCUAUGUUCAAGCUCUAGUUCUGGCUUGAGGAUCUGGGGAACGGCCAAGUAUUUGAGCUUCUACUAAUUCUGCUAAUGAAACUGAUAAUCUAGCAAAGUAUCUCUGUUGUUUGUAAAGGUAAAAUAUAUAGCUGUGAUGCCCUGUUAAGAAUGUGUCAUUUCCA